AAAGGUCACUGAUUUGAAUCAAAAUUGUUCCAUACAUAUGCUGGGCUUGAGUUGACGUUUGGGUGAGGCUAGCAUUGUUUUUAGCUUUCCGUGCUUGAACAAUUGGAACGUCCUGAGAUUAGGUCCUGAGAUAUCUUCACCAUUAGAAGCUAAGCUAAGCCUUGGCCCUCAAACCGAUUACCAUGCGUGGGCCACUGACUGGCGCCAGUACUGGUCUAACUGCCGACAAGCAAAGACCCUACGUCUUGGGCCAGCCUUGUCCUCGCUAAGAGCAGUCAUCUUUUGAGAUUUGACCGAGAAUUGGAGUACUGUAAUCUGACUGAGGAUAA
rnacentral:lncRNA from 1 species